rnacentral:rRNA from 1 species
CCUACGGGAGGCUGCAGUGGGGAAUAUUGCGCAAUGGGCGAAAGCCUGACGCAGCGACGCCGCGUGCGGGAUGAAGGUCUUCGGAUCGUAAACCUCUGUCAGCAGGGAAGAACGGUCACUGUGCUAAUCAGCAGUGAAUUGACGGUACCUGCAAAGGAAGCACCGGCUAACUCCGUGCCAGCAGCCGCGGUAAUACGGAGGGUGCGAGCGUUAAGCGGAAUUACUGGGCGUAAAGCGUUCGUAGGCGGUAUGGCAAGUCAAGGGUGAAAUCCCCGCGCUUAACGUGGGAACUGCCUUUGAAACUGGCAAACUGUGUUGUGUGAGAGGAUAGUGGAAUUCCAGGUGUAGGCGUGAAAGCCGUAGAUAUCUGGAGGAACAUCAGUGGCGAAGGCGACUAUCUGGCACAUAACUGACGCUGAGGAGCGAAAGCGUGGGUAGCAAACAGGAUUAGAUACCCCAGUAGUC